UUUUUGUUUCUUUUCAGCCAGUUUGGGAUCAACUAUGUCCCCUUAGCUGUUCCAGGAUACCAAGUGAGCUUAAAUAGUUUGGUAGACCUUUUUUUCUAAACUGUGAACUCAGUUAAAAAAAAAAAAUAAAAGCAGGGCAGAAGCAGGAAAAUGGCUCAUCCUGUAGCUCCUGUCUUCUUCAGGAUGCUGGUGGCCUUUGAGAAGCCCAAAGUUGCACCAGUAAAGAAAUUUAACAUAUUUAUAGGUGAUGAAUGUGAUGAUUUCAAA
rnacentral:lncRNA from 1 species